CAAACACCUUGCUUUACCCCAGGCAAGGACACACCACAAUUAGACUGGAGCUUGCGCCAUAUUGCUAUUUCAGAGAGUGGAUAUGGAAACCUGCACAAAGAUGUAAUAAGAGAGUGGUUCAUGUGUG